rnacentral:lncRNA from 1 species
AUGGUGCAGUGCCUCCUCGGACCUAUCGGUCGAGCUUUUCCCUUGGGUGGCCGUACCCACUGGGAACCAUGGAGUUGGUUCUCACCCCACGUGGUUUUGGGGUGUUUUCAGGUUGUUCGUGUGCAGCGCGGUGGCGCGAGGCGAGGGGCGUAGCUCAGUAGAUAGCGCCCUACCACAGAGACCGAGGUAGCAGUACCCUGAGGCAGUCUAGCUUAGGGGA